rnacentral:Y_RNA from 1 species
AUGACGGAUACUUCUGGAUCUGACGGUUGCGGGUUCGAGUCCCGCCCGGCUUCGGCCGGUAGCUCAAGUGGGUAGAGCAUCGGACUGUCCUCCGUCGUCGACCC